UACCCGAAAAGCAAACACAUGCAUUAGUGUCAACAUGCAGUAGCACUGAGCACUACAAAGAAGUUGCUUAUUUGGAUACAAAGACCAAUCCUAAGCCAGCUUUUGAUUCAGUUGGAAAUUGCCCGCUCAAAUUAACGCUUUCACAAACAAUGCAUCAUUUGGGUCAUCAUUUCGCUGUGUGAUACGAUCAGGGAAGCAAGUCUGAAGUUAUUCUACUGAAAGCCUGUAUCUUUUGCCUGUUUUCAAGAAUCAGUCGAACCAUAUCGAAAAAUUCAAAAUAUGGGUCGUCUACAGAAUAAAGAAAUAUGGUAUAUGCCGAUCAUUGAAAAUGGGUCCGCUGAAAUCUUCUAUAACUCAUCGAUUAAAUUUAGGAAUGGCAAGAAGAAGCAUACCAAUCAUUUGUGACUAUAGACGAUAGAGGUCAGGAAGAAAGAGAAGAAGCAAUGACGAAAGCAGUAGGCCCAUCCUUGGUAACAACAUGACUUCUUCAGGGAAAGUUUAAUGAUCUCUUUGUGUCACCAGAACUGAGAAUCCCGUACACAUCCAGACGGACACGGAACACAAUCCUCACCAUCAC